rnacentral:rRNA from 1 species
UACGUAGGGUGCAGGCGUUAAUCGGAAUUACUGGGCGUAAAGCGUGCGCAGGCGGCUCCUUAAGUCAGAUGUGAAAGCCCCGGGCUUAACCUGGGAACUGCGUUUGAAACUGGGGAGCUAGAGUGUAGAAGAGGGGGGUGGAAUUCCAGGUGUAGCGGUGAAAUGCGUAGAUAUCGAGAGGAACACCUGCGGCGAAGGCGGGUUGCUGGGCCGACACUGACGCUGAUGCGCGAAAGCCAGGGGAGCGAACGGG